UUGUGACCAUGUGUAGGAUCCUAAUUCCCAGGUUUGGGAUCACUGUGCUAAAAGGAAUCUACAUAGGGAUUUAUGAGCUAUGGAAAACAUUUAAUAAUGUAUGUAAUAUGGUAAACACGCAGUACUAACUUUUUCAGCAUGACACUGGUUAUUUGUGAUGAUUUUGCAGUUGUUCUUAUUUCAUCUUAGAAGUCAGACAAUUAUGUGAGUAAUGCUUUCUCAUAGAGCCACUAUCCAAACCAAAGAACCACUACAGAGGAUCAAUUUACAUAAGCACAGAAUUUGCAUAUAAACAUGAAUGUAAACAACCAUAUACAGUACAUGUUGGACUUCCUCACAAGCAUCCACGUUUGCAUGUGAUAACACACCAAAUUAGGAAGAAAUCUUACAUCAGAUCCAGCCGAAGGCCUCAAACUCAUUCUCAGUGAAACUCCUGCGCUCCAUUGAAGAGGCAGAGCUGUCAGAGUGGGUGGCAUAACCAAGCUGACAGCCUGCUGUGGGCUGCUGCUCUUUAUUCGCCAGACAGAGAUCAGCAAUUUUCAAUUUCCUCCUUGCCGCACGCUUAAGCCCACACACUACCGAGACACUCUUCAACAACAAAGGCCAACUUCUUUGACUGAGAAAGAUGACUAACAAUUGGACCGAGUGGUGGAUUAUCCAAUCGGAACUGCUGUUGUUGGUGGGUGGUCUGUCUCUUUUCAUACUCCUCUCUCCUUGGCUCUGAGUUUUGACCAAUCCCCUGCCAGAUGGGGUCACUAAAGUCUCACCACCAGCACCCCUAUUGGUCGGGGUUGUUCACUGGGUAGUGGUGCUGAGAGGAGAACAAUGAAUGACAUCAAUAACACGACUUGCCAGGCCUAUGCUGUGUGUAUGGUGUAUGCUGGCUGCCUCUGUCUCCCUUCUCUGUGCGGCAGUUCUCCGCCUGAAAGGAAUCUCAGGCUUUCAAGGCUCUUUUUGUGAAGCGCUCAUCAAAGCCUCCGCAAACACUAUACUGCUGUUUUUGAAGUCAAUAUCCCACUUUUACUUUAGAUGAGAUAUUCUGGUCAUAGUUCUGUGGUUCUCUCUUGUCAUUAUUUAAAUUAUAUGUAUAUGCUCCAAUGCAAAUGAGCCUUUGUUUUCCUGAAGAAGGUAACCAAUUUAUUUAAAUUGACCAUUAUGAUUGAUUUCCAUAACUGGCAUUCUCUCUCUCUCUUUGCUCUCUCUUUCCCCCAUUUCUUUGUGAUCUUUGUGUUUCCUUUGUACUGUACUGAAACCUUCAGGAAUAAAGGGGAAACCAGAUUGACCUUCAUGGAAA